UGGCACUAGACUCCUUCUCAGUAUCGCUCCGUUUCAUGUCUUCACUUCCGGGUUAAUCCAGGGAGAGAGUAUCGCUGCACGAAGUCCUGCAACUCUCAGACGCCUAACUGCUCCACGAGGCUGUCUUCCUGCCUAACAGUGAGUUGACAGACCAUUAGCUAGGGAACCCUCUGACUCUCUGUCAACAAGUUCACAUGCCAGAUAGACCCCCACGAACACACAGGGUUUGCGGCGUGUGCAGGGAUCCCCUUUGAUACUUGCCGCAUUCCGGCUUUCAUUUAGGCAAACAAGUGGGUCGCUAGUUAACUCCUCACCAUCAAUGCGGGCCAAUUUAGGGGCAUCUCCCUAGUUAGUGCUCCGUUCAGCACUUUCAUUCAUGGCAUUGAUAUUCGCCUUAUUUAGGCAAGGUUCAGCUUUUCAUAUAUGCCAGACAGCCAGAUCAUUUGGCAAUAUCCCCACCUUGUGGCCUUGUACAAUAUUGAUUGGUUUAAAUUACAGUGUUUAUAUGUUGAAUUAUUUUCCUGACUGAGGUUGGUUCAGUCAGUAUAGUUGGUUUAGUGGUCUGUUAUAAACACUAUUGCUCCUAUAACUUUACUGUCAUAUUCCUGUUAAUUCCUGUACUUACUGCUUGUCUGUUGCUUCAGGCCUUAUGUCUGCAUUUCGUGAAACAUUAUCCAAAUCAGAAGUCCAAGUGUUUUCUGCUUAUUAAAUUGGUAAGUGGAUUUCAAGCCUGCACUGGCUCACUUGACUACCCUUAGUUACAGCUAUUUAAAGAGCUGUUGGUAUACAUAAUGAGGAGGAGUAUGUAUUAAAGGAGCACUAUAUAGCACAAACAUGUAUUCCUGACCCUAUAGGGUUAAAACCACCAUCUAGCCACCCUCAUCCCCUCAUGUCUCCAUAAAAUAGUAAAAUCUUACUUGAAUUCAAGUCUGCAGCUGCAUGCAAUGUCCCUGUUUCCUUUAGACCUGCCCACUGCCUGCUGACAUCAGCAGGAGUGGUAGCCUGAUCCAAUCACAAUGCUUCCCCAUAGGAUUGGCUGAGACUGACAAAGAGGCAGAUCAGGGGCAGAGCCCACAUGAUUCAAACACAGCCCUGGCUAAUCAGCAUCUCUUCAUAGAGAUGAACUGAAUCAGUGAAUCUCUAUGAGGGAAGUUCAGUGUCUGCAUGCAGAGGGACGAGACACUGAAUGUUUGGAUGCAUUUUAGGCAGCCAUGACCCAGGAAGGAUCUCUAACAGCCAUCUGAGGAGUGGCCAGUGAGGUUAUCACUAGGCUGUAAUGUAAACACAGCAAAAAGCCGGAAAGUAAUGAUUCUACUCACCAGAACAAAUUCAAUAAGUUGUAGCUGUUCUGGUCACUAUAGUGUCCCUUUAAGAUAUAGGUCUGACUCUACAUGUUGUUGUUGGUGUAGACACUCCUUUUUCCCCUCCCUACCGGUAUGCAAACUUCCCGGUUACUGAGUCAGGUCACAGUAUAACAGGUAACUAUAAGGAUCAUACAGCAUGUCACUUCUAUGCUGAUCAUAAUCAACUUGCUUCAGAUUACCCCCCUUCCUCUACUCUACUAAAGAUAUUACUCGUAUAUACAAUGUUACCCUAGCACUUGUGGUUGGCUACCUCUACUUGUAUAUUUUACGGUAUAAGUUUAAGCAUCACGUUGACAAUACUGGUAUGAUUGUUGUAACACUUCACAAAUGACACUACAGUCUUUACACAAUUAGAUUGUGGGUUAUUCUGAGCUUAACUAGAUCCUAUUGGAAGGCAUUUGAUUUGACUUAUUACAUAUUAAUUACGCUUAUACUGAUAAUUACAAUGGACUUCAGACCACCUGCUGUCACUACUCAGACUUGCAUACAAUGUCUCACGGAAUGUCUCGUUAUGAUAUUUGUAGACUCUCGUUGUCGACUAUGAGAUGAAAAAAUGCUAAAGAAAAGGGGGAAGAAAAACAAAAUCUGAUACUACCAGCAGGUGUCUCCAAGGAGAUAAAUUUGUAAGUGGUAUCAAAGUGGAGUCUUUAUUGCUAUAGCAUAUAGUUGUUCUAAAACUUAACUUUUAAUGUUGCAGUUAAUAUAAAUGAACAAAAAAAUUGUGUAGAAGUAAAAAUAAAAAAUUAAAUAUAAAACCAGGAUGUUCAGUUCUAUUAAGUAUAAUAGUGUGUGCUGUGCUAGUACAGCACCAGCUCUGAGGAUUACAAGUAGGAGGGUAAAUUAUCUGAGCAUAUUGAUGUAGCAGUCUAGAUGGAGAAAGAGGUACAAUUUACCUAGAUUCCAAUGCAGUGAAAUUCUAGUAUUCCUAGUAAGUGCCUAUUUUAUUAAACCCAUUUUGUGCUACAGAUCUUGCUAAAAACGGUUUUAGGAUAUUAAUAUGCAAUAUACUCAUGAAGGCUGUGCCUUCAGUCUUAUGACAGUCUGCUUAUUCUGUAUUUUGCCGGGAGAGAAUAGAGGCUUGGAUGGCUAUGAGUAUGUACUGACUCAUUCGUAUAAUAGGCUGACCGGGAGGAAGAUACAAAACUGGUUAAAUCUGUUACUGAAAGAAUCUUCAGUAACUUUAUAUUUAUCCGUUUAAAAUUUCAGCCUAGGAAGUGGCGUGCAAACAAGAGCCAAGCAUACAGUCUAAUAGUAGAAUUAACAUGCGCUAUAACGCAGACAGAUAGAGAUAAAAGCUUCACGGAGAAGGUGUAUAUUAAAAAUUCUAAUGUGCUUCUCACUGACGUUGUCCACAUAUCUGAUACUACAAUUUGAUAGGCCUUGUACCGAGAAUCCAAAGCUUCCAUAUUGGGGUUCUGUCUAAUUGCCCAGGUAGGCCUGUUACUCCUUUGAGAUACUGUUGUGUUACGGUUCAUUUUGACUCAGACAUGAGUCUCCCUUCCACAUAUCUGUGGGUGCACUACUAACUACUGAACCUUGAAACCUUUGGCAUACAAAUCCAAAUUCAGUUCAUACAGGUAUGUUUCCCCAUUAACUUAUAUUCAAACUUUCCUGUUUAUAUCAGCCCUUUAGACUAAAGAAAUUUCUGGCUGUCAGGAAAAUAGGUUCCAUAUUUAGCUUUCUAAGGCCUCCUAUGCCUCAUACUAGUCCUCCUGCGAGGCCAACACCCAUCCUCAUACUCAGAAGUAUUCGGCCCUCAGUCCAACGCAUAGCUAGCUGCCUCGCAAGUUACAUAGAGAGGGCCUCACUUGUCACACCCAAUUCUAUUUUUCUCUUAAUGUCACAGAGAGGCCAACAUCCUACCACUACGUUCCGUGGUAAAUAGGCCCUCGGUCCAACUCAUAGAUAGAGCUUCUCAAGCCGCUUGGCAUUAGUAAGGCCUCACCUGUCACCACUUAGUGAAUGUUUUCGCCACUUGGCACUAUUUAGCAGACAGUACCCUGGAGACGAGAUCCUAAUUUCAAUUCUCAUUUUAGUAUGUCACAAGUUCCGGAAGGGGGAGAUGAGCUUUCACUCCUUAACACCCCAGCUAGGUCGGGUUCACCAUCUGGGAUAUGUGUAUCGGCCAGUCCUUCAUCUAUCAGAUCUUGGACUAUACCACGCAUUCAAGUCGAACUUAGAAAAAGAAGCAUUCCAUUCCAGGCUACCUCCAGGAAAGCAGAAUUAUUUAGAUUAAUGCAGACACACACCAACAACUCUGGCACAGGGGAAACGUCUAGCGGGAACAUCAACAUGCCUGACUUACAGACAAUGAUGAAUUCUCUUCUAUCAUCCAUGGGCCAAAUUAGAGAUAGGAUUGACAGAUUAGAAUCUGGCCACUUGGCAACAAACCCAACAUUGUCUGAUGCUACAUCUCUAGCAGCUGCUAUGGCUAUUUUACAGGGUAAUGUAGUUGUCCCUAUAUACCCGAUUGAUACACUCAUGAUUACACCAGCACAUAUGGUGCCUCCUCAAUUCCGCAAAGAUAUCCUGGAAGGUAAAGAUGUAAAUUUGGUCUCACUUCUGAUUGCUUCCCAGGAUAUCGUAGAGAAUAAAAUGUAUGCUUAUGGGGACCUAUCGGUAGUCCUCAAGGCUAGAGAUCCCAGACUCGUUAAAAAACUGACCAUUCCCAAAUUUGUACUGGCGUUUAGGAUCUAUAGAGAUGUGGUAUAUACUAACUUGCCACGGAGGAGAAAGAAAUUAGAUAAUUAUAUGCAUAAGCUGGUGGACCUGAGGCACAAAUACGGCAGAUAUGCCUUCUAUGACUAUCAUAGGCCAUUUUCGGCUAAAGCAGCAGCAAGUCUGAACCAGUUUAAUAUGGUUGUUAACUGGAGUAAACUGGAUACAGAGUUGUUCAGUAGGCAUUUCGCUGGCCUCAGGACUCCAGCCUGUACUUUGUGUUCCUCAACCUCCCACACAACAAAUCUCUGUCCUAAUGAUGCCUCUGUUUCGGGCCUACAAAACCCUGGUUUACCAGCUAGGUCAGAGAAAGUCAUAAAGGAUAAACUUGGCAGACCAAAUGUGUUACUUGGCAAAUCCCAUAUAUGUAAUAAUUUUAUUACAUGCUUGUGCCUGUGCUUGUGGGUUCAGUAUCUGUAGGUUAUUGCAUAUCUGUAUGCUAUGUUUCCGAGCACAUUCCAAAACAAUGUGCCCCAAUAAACUACAUUCCAAACAGUAUUUCACAUCUGUUAACAUUAUUAAGUUGUCUCAGCUGUUAGCAUCACAAUCAUCUCCGCAAUUAGUGGAUUUCUUGGUUUCAGGGUUUUCUGAUGGGUUCCUGCUGGUAUCUGCCACAGCAGAUUUGCGGAUGUGGCAGAAAUUUUUAUAUCAAGGAAAUGGGAAUUCAUGUACAUUCCUCCAUUUUCCGACAAUUCCCCAAUGCUCUGGUCAGAUGCCGUGGCUUUUAUCGGCUUUGCAGCAAUUUGUGGAGACCGAUGGUUAUGGGGCUGUUGGCUGCCCGAAACCAAAGCAUUGGAGGCCUUUUAUCUGACCUCUGCAUUAUUUGAAAUUUAUCCUUUUGUGGCCGUGGCAGCAAACUGUUCAAUGUUUUUCUGACAAUCAGGUGACUUGUCAUAUCAUUAAUAAAGGCUGCUCCCCUUCUCUCGUUAUCAUGAGUUUUGUUAGAAGCUUAACUUGGCUAGCAGCGACUUAUCAAUUCUUCAUAUGUUGUACACAUGUUCCUGGUAUUCACAACACGGCUGCUGACCAUUUGUCCCGCUUCCGUUUUCAGGAAUUUCUCCAACUACACCCCAAUGCCUCACCAAUGGCAGCUCCGGCACCUCAAUUUCAAGACCUCAUCUUGUAUUCGGCCAACUCCUAGCUCAUGGCAGAAUGCUGUCAUGGUGCGCUUUGUCAGAAAACACCAGACGGUCAUACAACAGGGAUUUCAAUAUUUUUGUGAGAUUUACUAGGAAAUUCCAUGUAGUAGAUAUUUUCACGAUGGAAUCUUUAGCAACUUUCACUUUUUUUGGCACCUCAAAUCACAUCUAUCCUUCAACACGAUCAAACUUUAUCUCACAGGGUUACAACACCACAUGCUUACACUAUUUCCAAACAAACAAACCUUUUUAUCAUCUUGUCAAAUUAAGACCGUGUUAAAGGGAAUCCAGAGGUGUAGUACACCACAAACAAAACAGAGAUUACCAAUCAAUGGGAGCUUGUUCAGGUCUCUAUCAGACCUUUUGGAUAAGUCACCAUUCGAACCAAAGACUAAUCAAACCUUAAAAGCUGCUAUAUACUUAGUUUUUAACAGGUUCCUUAGACCCAGGGAGUUCACUACCAUCAACACUUCUGAAUUAAGGUAAUGCCUCAAGAUAUCACAUAACAGCAAACAGGAAGACCACUACGUACUCUCUCUGCAACAUACCAAGACCAGUCAACCAGGUCGAACAGUAAAAGUUAAUUAUUACCCCACAUUUAACUAAUGGUGUCCAGUAAAGACACUAGAUAUAUAUCUACACAACUUACAAUCACCUUCAAAUCAACCUUUACUUACCUUACAGGGGGCCAUUCUCACUGCAGGCAAAUUUAUGCUUUACGUAAGAAUCCUAUUCCACACUAUUCCAGACACUCCUUCAGGAUAGGUGCAGCCUCGGCAGCCUACCACAGGAACAUCCCUACCCAUAUUAUAAAAUCAUUGGGGUGCUGGAAAUCUACAGCCUACUGUAGAUACAUUCCUCAACCAGAGAAGGAAACAAGCAUUCCCACAUUUAGCAUUUUCAUAUUCUAUGUUGUAGCAAUGUGAUUGCUGAUUGAAUAAAGUAUUUU